GCAGUAGCCGCGGUAAUACGUAGGGUGCAAGCGUUAAUCGGAAUUACUGGGCGUAAAGCGUGCGCAGGCGGUUAUAUAAGACAGAUGUGAAAUCCCCGGGCUCAACCUGGGAACUGCAUUUGUGACUGUAUAGCUAGAGUACGGCAGAGGGGGAUGGAAUUCCGCGUGUAGCAGUGAAAUGCGUAGAUAUGCGGAGGAACACCGAUGGCGAAGGCAAUCCCCUGGGCCUGUACUGACGCUCAUGCACGAAAGCGUGGGGAGCAAACAGGAUUAGAUACCCGGGUAGUCCCUGUCUCUUAUAC
rnacentral:rRNA from 1 species